rnacentral:rRNA from 1 species
UACGUAGGUGGCAAGCGUUGUCCGGAAUUACUGGGCGUAAAGGGUGCGUAGGCGGUUCGUUAAGUCUGUCGUGAAAUCCCCGGGCUCAACCUGGGAAUGGCGAUGGAUACUGGCGAGCUAGAGUGUGUCAGAGGAUGGUGGAAUUCCCGGUGUAGCGGUGAAAUGCGUAGAGAUCGGGAGGAACAUCAGUGGCGAAGGCGGCCAUCUGGGACAACACUGACGCUGAAGCACGAAAGCGUGGGGAGCAAACAGG